UACGGAGGGGGCUAGCGUUGUUCGGAAUUACUGGGCGUAAAGCGCGCGUAGGCGGCUUUGUAAGUCAGAGGUGAAAUCCCGGGGCUCAACUCCGGAACUGCCUUUGAAACUGCAUCGCUUGAAUCCGGGAGAGGUGAGUGGAAUUCCGAGUGUAGAGGUGAAAUUCGUAGAUAUUCGGAAGAACACCAGUGGCGAAGGCGGCUCACUGGACCGGCAUUGACGCUGAACAGCGAAAGCCAGGGGAGCAAACGGG
rnacentral:rRNA from 1 species